AUGCACCCUGGCCAGAUGGUCCUUCUCCUCGUUCACUCCCCACCGUCCUUUUCACUGUCAGGGGGGGACGAGGCCAAGUUCGCCACCCCACCGUACUCUUGCAGGCAACGCAGCCAGGGAUCACAUGGCAUUCUCCGGGGUGGGGAGCGCAGAGAAUCCAGCCGGGGCGGAGGAGGAGAUAGAUGCAAACAAAAAUCAACGGGAGGAAGGAAACACACACGUUUCCGACUUUCAGUUGAGGCAGAUGGACGGACCUACGCGAAAGCGAGAAAAACAAACGCGAAAAGCGCGCCGGAAAGGUCGGGCAUGGGAUGCACAUGCCCUGACUGGCAGGUGGGCCAUCAAGUAGUACCAGCACACCGUCCGGUUGGACCAACGAACGAACGAGCGAGCAUCGCCCCUUCCCUGGCUCGCGUGGGGCCCCGAUUUUCCUCGCUCUACACAGCUGUGACCCGCGAUCGCGAGUAA
rnacentral:rRNA from 1 species